CGUGCUGGUGGAUUACACCAUACGCAAGUUCUACGUCCAACACAUCAGAAGCAUGGAAUGGCUCGUUCUGGGCAACGAUUUUCACUUAACACUUUGUUCAUCUCGUAGCAAUCGAAUGAUGCCGCGUGUGGUCACGCCGCUCCAUUUCACCAACUGGCCCAACUUCGGCGUGUCCUUCUCUCCCAUCGGCAUGCUCAAGUUCCAAGAAAGUCAAAGGCGCUCAAGCCGCCCGUCGCGCCCAUCGUGGUCCACUGCAGCGCUGACGUUGGUCAGACGGGCAGGUUCAUCGUGAUUGAUGGUAUGAUGGACAAGAUGCACGCUGGACACAAAGCGGUAGUUUGGAAAUCCGAGAGCAGCGUCUGCAGCUCUUCCAGACCGACAUGCAGUAUUUGUUCAUCUACCAGGCGCCAAAAUGCGUAACUCUCACCGCCUUAACUGUAUUUGUGAUUUAAUGUGAACUGUUCUGUAAUCCCGAAUGCAUUAUCGCCUGACCCCAUCACCUGCCUAUCCUCUUGAACAAAAUCCCUUGAACCCUUACUCUGAAGGCCUAACCUCUAAUGCCUAUACAGAUAAUUACCUAACCUAAGAGGCCGAUCUGCUUUACCCUAAUUUCUAACUGCAAUCUCAAACCUCGAGCGCCAACCCUGAACAUCGUGCCCUCAACCAUAAAACCCUAACACUGUCAACCCCAUCUUUUAAUCCCUAAUCCUACCCCUCACCACUUUAACCAUAUUCCAAAUGCAAACUCUAAACCUCAACCUGAAUCCUAAAUUCCCUUGCACCCUCAGACCCAGGGGUGUCCGAACUCUGUCCUUGGGCGGCUGUCCUGCCCGUUUCCCAGCUCCCCCAAGAGCAACACGCCUGAUUCAAAUAAUCAGGAUCGUUGUAAUGCUGCUUCAGAGAUGCCUGAUGAGCUGAUCAUCUGAAUCAAGUGUGUUGCAGCCGGGAGAGAUGCAAAACGGCCGGGACAGCAGCCCUUGACGACAGUUUGGACACCACUGGUUUAAGGGUAAAGGGAAAUUAGGAUGAAGGUUAGUUUAGAGUGAGC